rnacentral:rRNA from 1 species
AGCGAACGCUGGCGGCAGGCCUAACACAUGCAAGUCGAACGGACCUUUCGGGGUUAGUGGCGGACGGGUGCGUAACACGUGGGAACGUGCCUUUAGGUUCGGAAUAGCUCCUGGAAACGGGUGGUAAUGCCGAAUGUGCCCUUAGGGGGAAAGAUUUAUCGCCUUUAGAGCGGCCCGCGUCUGAUUAGCUAGUUGGGGAGGUAAUGGCUCACCAAGGCUACGAUCAGUAGCUGGUCUGAGAGGAUGACCAGCCACAUUGGGACUGAGACACGGCCCAAACUCCUACGGGAGGCAGCAGUGGGGAAUCUUGCGCAAUGGGCGAAAGCCUGACGCAGCCAUGCCGCGUGGAUGAUGAAGGUCUUAGGAUUGUAAAAUCCUUUCACCGGUGAAGAUAAUGACUGUAGCCGGAGAAGAAGCCCCGGCUAACUUCGUGCCAGCAGCCGCAGUAA